rnacentral:misc_RNA from 1 species
AAGAAUAAGUUCCCCUUAGUCAAAACACGGAAAUGGUGAAGAAAGUAAAUUCAUAAAUGUUUAUUUUUUUUGGAAACAUUGACAAAGUUUACGAAAUUUGUACAAAGAAAAAUGUUUUCUUUUUAAAUCGUCUGAUGUCCGUGACGACCACAAGUCUGGUUCCUAGUUGGAAUGGUCUGUUAUCACCAAGAUGUUCUGGAAUCCUUUUGAUGUCUCCAAAGUCAGGUUAUUCCAUGUAAUAUAACAGUCGGUAUGGAUGUUACUAUUAGAGAAUGGUAUGCGUCAUACUACGUAGACGAAAAACGAAAGUGGAUUUACGGAACUCUGCAUUUGCAGCCUUUUUCUUUGACAUUCGUUGAAGAAGCAGAACGGAAAACAUUGAACCAGGAUCUUGUUAUAAACCUUUUCGAUGUGUGCAGUUUGAGGAAAACCACCAGUUCUUUGAUUUUUAAAGCAAUCACUAUAACCACUAAAGCAAGCAGCAAUUAUUGGUUGUCCUCGUUCUUAGAUCGAGAGUGUGUAUUUAGUGCUAUGAGUUACUUUUGGCGGAAUGCCCUUCUACAUACUGAAACGAAAAAUGCAUCUAGGACUCCAUCGGUUCCCGAUAGCGAGAGGACAAAGCUUGGUUCUGCGUUGUUGCAAAGGGCUCUGGACUCGGAAAGGACUCUAAAAACUACCGCUGUCAAACUGGACCAACAAGGGGAGCAGAUCGAGCAUUCGAUAGACAAUCUGCAGGAUCUACACGAGGAUCUCGACGUGGCUGACAAGCUGGUGUCGGGCCUCGAGAAGUGGCUGGGUGCCUGGAAGCUGCCCAAAACGUACACGACGUUGGACCCGGUGCUGAUAAAGGACAAGGAUGUUCCCGACGUCUACGACUACGAGGUCUUGUACACACAGAUGGACAGCAGCCAGUACCAGCAGCAGAGUCUGCGCGUGACACGGAUUUCUAGGAGCGGCGUCACUAUCCUGGACAUGAAACAGAACAUACUUUCCAAUACCUCGUGGCACAAUAUCUCCGUGGUCACCAUGGUGACACCGUGGGAGAUGAUCUUCACGCAGUACCAGAUUGGCCGACCAGACGUCAAAUUCUCCAUCGUGUCGUCUGCUCUUCCCCACAUCGUGAAAAAGAUCGAAAGAUUUGCGAGUAAGAAACUCGAUUUCGACGACAGCGUCCAAGCACGCCUUGAACAGGAUAGAUCUCAUCCAAGAGUUGCUCGAUUCCCAGCCCGUUUUACCAGAAAGCCGGAAUGCCACGGUUCACAACCGUCAGUGGCAAUGUACACUAACCCUUCAGAAAGCAGCCUUGACCUUGGUGACCAGGCGAGGAAGACGAACGAGGUAAUCAGUGAUGCUGAAGUGAGCGAACUCCAGACAACGUUAAGCAACCUGAAAGCUAUUGCGUUAGCUGUCCGUAACGAAGAAGAGGCGCAGCGAGACAGACUCGAGUUUCUCACCGGCUCAGUGGACAGGGCAAACGACAGAAUAAAGGCGACUACACACCGAACCAAUAAACUUUUAUAGUAUAAUAAUAAUUAUUACACACCCGUUGGUGAGAACAGCAUGCAUUAUUUUUGUUAACACAGUUUCAAGACGUACAACGGACUGCUCCUAUAGGUGAUGACCUGGGCCCGGUUUAACGAAGCUAUCUUAGCACUAAGAUCACUUUAGUGCACAAGGUAACUAUGGACUUAAGGCUAAGAUCGCUUUGUGGAACGGGGCCCA